CUCAGGAUGUGUAUAAGGAUAACGCAGUAAAGGAAUUGAAGAAUGCUCGGGAUGUGUAUAAGGCUAAUGCAGUAAAGGAAUUAAAGAAUGCUCAGGAUGUGUAUAAGGCUAACACAGUAAAGGAAUUGAAGAAUGCUCGGGAUGUGUAUAAGGCUAACACAGUAAAGGAAUUAAAGAAUGCUCGGGAUGUGUAUAAGGCUAACACAGUAAAGGAAUUGAAGAAUGCUCAGGAUGUGUAUAAGGCUAAUACAGUAAAGGAAUUGAAGAAUGCUCAGGGUGUGUAUAAGGAUAACGCAGUAAAGGAACUGAAGAAUGCUCAGGAUGUGUAUAAGGCUAACACGGUAAAGGAAC